rnacentral:rRNA from 1 species
GACGAACGCUGGCGGCGUGCCUAAUACAUGCAAGUUGAGCGCUGAAGGUUGGUACUUGUACCAACUGGAUGAGCAGCGAACGGGUGAGUAACGCGUGGGGAAUCUGCCUUUGAGCGGGGGACAACAUUUGGAAACGAAUGCUAAUACCGCAUAAAAACUUUAAACACAAGUUUUAAGUUUGAAAGAUGCAAUUGCAUCACUCAAAGAUGAUCCCGCGUUGUAUUAGCUAGUUGGUGAGGUAAAGGCUCACCAAGGCGAUGAUACAUAGCCGACCUGAGAGGGUGAUCGGCCACAGUGGGACUGAGACACGGCCCAACCUCCUACGGGAGGCAGCAGUAGGGAAUCUUCGGCAAUAGACGAAAGGCUGACCGAGCAACGCCGCGUGAGUGAAGAAGGUUUUCGGAUCGUAAAACUCUGUUGGUAGAGAAGAACGUUGGUGAGAGUGGAAAGCUCAUCAAGUGACGGUAACUACCCAGAAAGGGACGGCUAACUACGUG